UAUUUAGUAUUUAGUAUUAUGUAUAUAACUAAUAUUUCUAUCAUGUUCAUAUAGUUUCAAUGGACACCAUACGAGGAUCCGGCAAUUCGGGCAGUAAUUCCGGAAGAGUUCUUACAAAAUCUACAAGCUUGGCACGUGAAAGUCGUGUUGAUCAACUACGCAACUGUGGAGUGAUACGGCCACGCCCCGGGCACACUCUUGGAUUAGCUUCCCAAGCGAGGCUUGUCGUCUUUUGCAAAGCUGAUCUAGAUCAAAUUUAGCUCGUUGAGCUUAAAUCAACUCGAUUCUAACUCUUUGAGCUCGAUUCCAUCUUUUACUUUACUUGUUUAAUUGCUGGAAUAAUUUCAUGAUUUAAUUAAAUUAGUUAAUUUAGUUUUAGCUCAUAAAUACGUCUUACUUUGAACUUAUUUAAUUUUGUGUCUAAAGAAGAGACAAAUUAAAUUAGUUGCUGCUGAAAUUAAUUUGUGUCUUGGUUAUUACAAUUUUAAUAGGCGUUUUUAAUGUGUCUUAGCUUUAGACAUCUUAAUUACAUGUUUGAGUUCAGACCAAUUAAUUAUGCUUAAGCUGCUAUUGACUUGUCCAGCCGAAUCUGUCCAUUUAAGUUGUCUUGUGCAGCCGAAUUUAUUUUGUGUCUCCAACUAAUAUUUAAGUGCAGAUUAUAAAUGUGCUGCAGUUAAUGUUGUGUUUACUACCGAAUUAAUGUGUGUCUAAAUAUUAAAUUAAUGUGCAGCAGAGACAUGUAUUAAAGGGGCUGUUCAAGUGUCUUGUUGUUGAUUUCUAGUCCAGCCGAAAUUAAAAGAGCAAUUUAAUGUGCAGGUACACUCCCUUGGACGGCAUUAAAGGAGGCAUGCUGGCCGAAUUUAAUGUACAGUAAAGACAUGUAUUAAAGGGGUUGUUCCACAUGCAAGGGACGUCCAUUUAAUGAGCUUCUGAAGAAAACAUGCAUGGAACGCAUUAAAGAGGAGGCUGCUGCGAAUUUAAUAUGUGCAUGACAUAGGACGGCAUUAAAGAGAAUGGGUUGCUGAUUGCUAUUUUCCAAGCAUCUCCUCGUGAAGUUCAAGGACCAAAGGAGCUGAUGCUUCCUAAUCCCAAAAUGACCGGCCCGUUCUCCAACCAGUUUUAAUGACCAUUCGGUUGAGAGCUUUCACACACUAAGGGCUAUUCAGUUUCGUUCGUUCACAUUGCAUGACUUUUCAAUCUUCUUCCUUCAUACCGAGUGACUAUUGAAGAGUUCCAUGUAGCCUCAUUAUGACCAAGAAUAUUCGGCUGAACCAAGGCAGCUCAAUUACUACAUGCAUUCAUCUUCUCAAAUUCAUUUGCUUAAGCCUUAAGCUGACCAUUGGAGCUCCCUAUUCAGCCAAACUUUAUUAUGACAAUUUAGUGUUUUAUUUCCAGAAUUUUCUAGCCUUUUCUAGCCUAAUUAAUUACUUAGAUAUUAAGUUUUUGCUUAGGUCAUUUGGCUACCUAGCUGAACAUUAUAAAUAGUUUACUUGUUUAUUGUAAAAGGUUACAGAAUUUGAUGAAUUAAACUUAAUAGAACUUUUGUUCUUGUGAGGUUACCUCCUCUCUUCUUUCAUUCGAGUCUCGAAGCGACUUAUCUAGCUUGCUAGUGGCGUCAAUCCGAACUCCAUUGGACUUAUCACCUAACCGGUGUGGUGUUCAACCAUAUUAUUAUACCUUUGGUUCUUACCUCCAUAUAGGUAACGGGUCAAGGUCCGCUUCUAUCCUUCAUCAUAAUUCACCUUAAGUAACAUAAGACUCGGGGCAAUACUUUUUAGUAUUGAAACAUUCUUGAAGCUUGAGUUCAACUUCCAUUCUAUUUUAUCUAUCAACUUAAAAAUUAUUUCUUUGUUAAACCGAACGUAUCAACCAUCAAACCAAGCCCAUCUUUUGAACCCAAACUGCCUGUUUCCGCUUAUACAUCUCCAUAACUCAAUUUUCAUAAGACACCAAAAUGAAAACUUCUCGUCGACGAUCGGGCAACUACGUGGAACGACUCGAUUAACCUGGGCCGGAUCGUAUCAUGGAGCCGCACCAGUCAGACAGAGUGCUACGAAAGUUUGGAUGUAGACAACCGAUUCCCGUAGAUCCUGAGGUGUUUGACACUCUAAAAUGGUUCCCUCUUAAACAGGGAAGGCAUGAAUACAAUAUGUUUUCUUUUCGAGUUAUGAUUGAUUUUCAGGUUCUUGGGAGCAACUUUGUCCCAAUAAUCAGCAAAGGGGGUCGUGACGAAGAAAUAUUUUUCGUGAGCAAGUGGCCCGAUUUGAGGACAAAUCACCUUAAAGAGGGAGGGGAUGAUACGGCCACGCCCCGGGCACACUCUUGGAUUAGCUUCCCAAGUGAGGCUUGUCGUCUUUUGCAAAGCUGAUCUAGAUCAAAUUUAGCUCGUUGAGCUUAAAUCAACUCGAUUCUAGCUCUUUGAGCUUGAUUCCAUCUUUUACUUUACUUGUUUAAUUGCUGGAAUAAUUUCAUGAUUUAAUUAAAUUAGUUAAUUUAGUUUUAGCUCAUAAAUAUGUCUUAAUUUGAACUUAUUUAAUUUUGUGUCUAAAGAAGAGACAAAUAAAAUUAGCUGCUGCUGAAAUUAAUUUGUGUCCUGGUUAUUACAAUUUUAAUAGGCGUUUUUAAUGUGUCUUAGCUUUAGACAUCUUAAUUACAUGUUUGAGUUCAGACCAAUUAAUUAUGCUUAAGCUGCUAUUGACUUGUCCUGCCGAAUCUGUCCAUUUAAGUUGUCUUGUGCAGCCGAAUUUAUUUUGUCUCCAACUAAUAUUUAAGUGCAGAUUAUAAAUGUCUGUAGUUAAUGUUGUGUUUACUACCGAAUUAAUGUGUGUCUAAAUGUUAAAUUAAUGUGCAGCAGAGACAUGUAUUAAAGGGGCUGUUCAAGUGUCUUGUUGUUGAUUUCUAGUCCAGCCGAAAUUAAAAGAGCAAUUUAAUGUGCAGGUACACUCCCUUGGACGGCAUUAAAGGAGGCAUGCUGGCCGAAUUUAAUGUACAGUAAAGACAUGUAUUAAAGGGGUUGUUCCACAUGCAAGGGACGUCCAUUUAAUGAGCUUCUGAAGAAAACAUGCAUGGAACGCAUUAAAGAGGAGGCUGCUGCGAAUUUAAUAUGUGCAUGACAUAGGAAGGCAUUAAAGAGAAUGGGUUGCUGAUUGCUAUUUUCCAAGCAUCUCCUCGUGAAGUUCAAGGACCAAAGGAGCUGAUGCUUCCUAAUCCCAAAAUGACCGGCCCGUUCUCCAACCAGUUUUAAUGACCAUUCGGUUGAGAGCUUUCACACACUAAGGGCUAUUCAGUUUCGUUCGUUCACAUUGCAUGACUUUUCAAUCUUCUUCCUUCAUACCGAGUGACUAUUGAAGAGUUCCAUGCAGCCUCAUUAUGACCAAGAAUAUUCGGCUGAACCAAGGCAGCUCAAUUACUACAUGCAUUCAUCUUCUCAAAUACAUUUGCUUAAGCCUUAAGCUGACCAUUGGAGCUCCCCAUUCAGCCAAACUUUAUUAUGACAAUUUAGUGUUUUCUUUCUAGAAUUUUCUAGCCUUUUUAGCCUAAUUAAUUACUUAGAUAUUAAGUCUUUGCUUAGGCCAUUUGGCUACCUAGCUGAACAUUAAAUAUUUUACUUGUUUAUUGUAAAAGGUUAUAGAAUUUGAUGAAUUAAACUUAAUAGAACUUUUGUUCUUGUGAGGUUACCUCCUCUCUUCUUUCGUUCGAGUCUCGAAGCGACUUAUCUAGCUUACUAGUGGCGUUAAUCCGAACUCUAUUGGACUUAUCACCUAACCGGUGUGGUGUUCAACCAUAUUAUUAUACCUUUGGUUCUUACCUCCAUAUAGGUAACGGGUCAAGGUCCGCUUCUAUCCUUCAUCAUAAUUCACCUUAAGCAACAUAAGACUCGGGGCAAUACUUUUUAGUAUUGAAACAUUCUUGAAGCUUGAGUUCAACUUCCAUUCCAUUUUAUCUAUCAACUUAAAAAUUAUUUCUUUGUUAAACCGAACGUAUCAACCAUCAAACCAAGCCCAUCUUUUGAACCCAAACUGCCUGUUUCCGCUUAUACAUCUCCAUAACUCAAUUUUUAUAAGACACCAAAAUGAAAACUUCUCGUCGACGAUCGGGCAACUACGUGGAACGACUCGAUUAACCUGGGCCGGAUCGUAUCAUGGAGCCGCACCAGUCAGACAGAGUGCUACGAAAGUUUGGAUGUAGACAACCGAUUCCCGUAGAUCCUGAGGUGUUUGACAAUCAACACAAAGUCGACCUUCAGUAAUUGAAUACGGAUUGGCCGAGAUACUGAUCUGAGUACAUGGAAAUGUGGGAAGAUCGGUAUGAAUAUAUACCUACUCGGGAACCAGUCAUCAUUUCGGAGUUAGCGUGCGUUCCAGAAUACAUGCCAUAGUUUAGGAUCCAUGGCAAGCUGUAUUUACUGACGCCAGAGGAGAGGCAGUGGCAAAUACAUGCCGAAAGGGAAAGGCGUGGGCUUCUAAAUCCAAGACAACAAGACGACGAAGGCAGCCCCUCAACGAGGCCCAGACAUUCAUCCGGCUCAUCAUCAGCGGCCAUGCAAUCACCACGCCCAACGAGAGCUCCGACACAGUCACCCGACGCAGUAAUUCAACCGAUGAUACCCACGCAACUGCCUUUUCAGAUGAUGUCAGGUGCGUUUCCUAGCCCUUAUAUGUAUCCUUUUCCGAGUCCUAUGGCAGGUUGGAGCCAAAUGCCCGGUUCAACUCCAUUUCCUGUUAUGCCGAGUGGACCGCCGAUGUAUAGGCCAGCGACGCACAAGGGAUCGCAAGAGGGGCUGUCGGGGAGCUCUCCUUUUUACCAAUCCCCACCAACGUAUAGGUUUCAAACACCGUUGCCGUUCGUGAUGCAAACACCUCCACAUACACUAUUCUUUGAAGGUGGAUCAUCGUCCCAAGUUCGACAACUAGAUGCCGUACCGGAAGAACCAGAAUCCCCGCCGGAAGAACAACAACCGCCGCCGAAAGCUAGAGAAAAGAGGAAUCAGCGCGUAACCGUCGACGGCCGCCAUGUGGUACUGAAUCCCCUAGGCAUAGACAUUGAUUGACGUAUUUAAAUUUAUUUGUACAAAUAUUUUGAAUAUUUUGAUAUUAUUUUAUGUAAUAAAAUAGAAAUUUUUUUGAGUUAUUUUGAUAUUAUUUGAUGUAAUAAGAUAGAAGUUUAUUUGAUGUAAUAAAAUAGAAAUUUUUUUGAGUUAUUUUGAUAUUAUUUUAUGUAAUAAAAUAGAAGUUUAUUUGAUGUAAUGAAAUAU
rnacentral:lncRNA from 1 species